AGGACGAACGCUGGCGGCGUGCUUAACACAUGCAAGUCGAGCGGAAAGGCCCUUCGGGGUACUCGAGCGGCGAACGGGUGAGUAACACGUGAGCAACCUGCCCUUAGCUCUGGGAUAGCUCCGGGAAACCGGAAUUAAUACCGGAUACGACCUAGGCCGACAUCGGCCAUGGUGGAAAGUUUUUCGGCUAGGGAUGGACUCGCGGCCUAUCAGCUAGUUGGUGGGGUAAAGGCCUACCAAGGCGACGACGGGUAGCCGGCCUGAGAGGGCGACGGCCACGACUGGGACUGAGACACGGCCCAGACUCCUACGGGAGGCAGCAGUGGGGAAUCUUGCGCAAUGGGCGAAAGCCUGACGCAGCGACGCCGCGUGGGGGAUGAAGGCCUUCGGGUUGUAAACCCCUUUCAGCAGGGACGAAGCGAAAGUGACGGUACCUGCAGAAGAAGCGCCGGCUAACUACGUGCCAGCAGCCGC
rnacentral:rRNA from 1 species